UUCCAGACUCCUACGGGAGGCAGCAGUGGGGAAUAUUGCACAAUGGGGGAAACCCUGGUGCAGCAACGCCGCGUGAGUGAGGAAGUAUUUCGGUAUGUAAAGCUCUAUCAGCAGGGAAUAGAAAAGAAGGUACCUGAAAAAGAAGCCCCGGCUAACUACGUGCCAGCAGCCGCGGUAAUACGUAGGGGGCAAGCGUUAUCCGGAAUUACUGGGUGUAAAGGGAGCGCAGACGGCAGUGCAAGUCUGGAGUGAAAGCCCGUGGCUUAACCACGGGACUGCUCUGGAAACUGUGCAGCUAGAGUGCAGGAGAGGCAGGCGGAAUUCCUAGUGUAGCGGUGAAAUGCGUAGAUAUUAGGAGGAACACCGGUGGCGAAGGCGGCCUGCUGGACUGUAACUGACGUUGAGGCUCGAAAGCGUGGGGAGCAAACAGGAUUAGAUACCCCGGUAA
rnacentral:rRNA from 1 species